GCCAUGAAAAGAAGACAAAAGUAUAAAUGCUGGAAAACAAAUCAUGCUUUUUACCAUUCUUGUGGUGUUUUAACCAUUGAGAAGUUAUGCCUGGAGGUAGUAGAUUUAUACUGAUUUACCUUUAGCCUGGCUUUGUCCCCCUUUACCAUAGUACCUGGCGAUUGCCUGAGCACCUGGGCUCUUGAAUGAAUCAUCUGCACUGGCUUCGGAAGGAAACCUUCUCAGUGCAAUAGCAGCAAUAUCCGGACUGGCCAUCGGUUUCUAUUCCGUUCAGCCUCAGCUGAUAUAUUUCAUAUGUUUUUGUAGCUGAAGCUGGGCCAGGACUUCUCUAGCUUUGACAGGAGGGCUAAAUGAGAGCAGGGAAUUUUAUGUUCCUCUUCCCACAGCAUUCCAGUAACCAUGCAGGAAGUCAUUGAUCAAUGGGAUUUAGGCAGUGUGCACAAGAAAGGUACGUGUGUGUGGCCUGGUGGCCUUCGCAGCAUGUGCUAUGACGACACCACCCUCUGAUUCAAUAAACGGAGGGAUAAGAGACGAGGUGGUAAGCCACACACACCACUAUUAUAUGAUGCGUCUCUGUAGCCAAGCGAAUGCAGUGUGGUCUGCUUUUAAAGCCCAUUCUACAAGGCUGCAUGGUUCUUACUAAAGCUAUGGUUUAGAUGUGGUCAUAGGAAAGAGAUUUUCCUGGAAAGUUGCUUAACGUGCUGUCACCGAGGGCAAGUUCUCUGACCCAGUGGCUCAUCCUACCCUGGGAGCAGAAAAAGGAUCUGACCUUUCACAGGUCACUUAGGUUUGUUUUACUGUCCUGAUUUGUGCCAUAACGCAGGAGAUCUCAAAAGCCAUGUCAUCUCCUCAGGAGGCUGCUAUGCAUUCAGGCCAUGCAGCACAGGGAGGGUGGAAGACCUGGUAUGCCUGCACACUUGAGCCAGAGCUGUUAGCAGGAAUGGUUUUGCUGGUUUGCUCUGCCCUAAAUGAAGUCAAACUCGUUCCUAGGAUAAGUUCACUGACCUUCCUGGAGCUGCAUGGGAAGAGUAUUUGUCAUGUUAAAUACGCUGUGGAUAUAGAGAGCGAGCCAAAAAGAGAGAAGUACUUAUCCAAUAAAUGUGCAUCGUUUGUUUGUCAUUGCUUUAGGGCAUUAAAAUUGCCCUGGGGAGCUCUUCUAGGCCUCUACCUGCCUACAUUGUACCAGGAGCUGUUACGCUGCAAAGAAAACUUCACCUCAGCAGUUUGUGUGCGUUAUGGAAGGUGACAGUUUGACUUUUUAUCUUUCCUGUGCCCCAGUUUCCCAUUUGGCCACAGGACGUGGCUCGGGGUAGGAUGCAGCUGUGGUGAGGCAGACAGGGAAGGGGUUGAUGUCAGUUCAGCAGCUCUGUCAUUGCAUGACUCGAAGCAUAAACUAAUGAAGUAAAUCUGUUUUCCUUCUCUCUCUCUUUCUUAUCUGUGAUUUUCCACAUCCAGAGGAAAUGGAGAGGGGGAGGCAGCAGGAGGCUGUUAUCAUGCAGCGAUGAGACAGGCUGUGGAGAAAAAGAUGCUACUCCUUCAGCGCUCCCAAAUGUGCUCCCAAAUCUCAGAAGAGCUGAAUAUUUCAGCUGAAAGAGUCAGCCAUGAAAUAAUCUUUUCCCUGGACACCGGAAUAGUUAUCAUUAUUGUACAGCAUCAACAGUCCAUUGAGCUGAACAGGGCAGCCUGUGCAGAGCUAGUGUUUCAGUCUGUCCACCUGCAGCACAGUAAAUAAUGGCGAGGAUAGUUUACUGUUACAGAGGGAUCGGAAUUGCUGGCUGAAUGGUCACAAUCCAAGAAAAUGUGUUUUAAUUUAGCUAAAUGAAAAGUAAUACAUCUGGGAACAAAGCGUUCACGCAGUACCUACAGGACAGGAGAUUCUGCCUUGGAAAAACAGGAUUAUGGGGUCAUUACGGUAACUACCUCCACAAUAGCUGCUGGUUCAAUGGGGCUAAGAGGGCUCAGCUGACUCCAGGAACCUAGAAGCAGAUGAUGAGAUCUGGGGAUGGCAGAAGCAUGGGCAGGAGCAGCCCUGGGCUGCAGCAUGAGGUGGUGGUCUCACCGGCUGUCCAGAUCUUAGCAAGAACAUAGAAACGUUGGGGAGGACCACUGAGAUGGUGCCUGGGAAAAUAAAAGCCUUUCUGUCAUGAAAGGGUUAAAGUGCCGCCACCCAGUCAGCUUUUCGAAGGCAAAGUUGGGUAAGUCUUUGUAACACUGGAUCCUCAUUGCAGUGAGGAGACACUGAAGUUACUCUAACUCAGCUGUAUCAUGAGGCCUUACUUCCUAUCGGUGGGUUAUGCUGACCAGGCAGGAGAUGGUAAAAUCACCUCAGGGCGUUACCUUAACAGACAUGCCUGGAUCCACCGUAGGAGAGAAACACUCCAUCAUGAGCAUGUAAAGUUUGAUUGGGGAUUAUAAUCUCUCAAUUCUCAUUCCUGUGCCUUUCUGGCAUGGUGGUGGAAACAAAGCAAUCUGCAUUUCCCGCAGUCUGCUCAUUGCUGCAGCUCUGCACUGAGACAGUGACAAUGCCCAGCCUUCAGCUUUAAGAUUUUGGGCCACAACAGGGCAGAGACUUUUCUUGUCCGAUGCAAAACAAGCAGUGUGUUGUAGGGUAUCACUGUAUUUCCUUCACCUUCUUCUGAAGCACUGGAAAUAGAUGGGGUAAAUGCUUGUGUAAGGUCUCUGCCCUUUGGACUUGCCCGUGAUUGCCACCUCCCUGAGGUCUUGAAUCACCUGCCAGAAUUACUUGUGCACAUUGCAUUAGCCAGUUUGCUGCUUUGGUGUCUUCUGGUCUUUACCCAUGGCACAGAACAGCUUCCCUUUCAGAGGACUGUGCUGCCUGAGUCUAACUGAAGCCUUAAUGCUCAAUGCUGGCUCUUCUUGACCGGCCUGUGAAGCACAGCAGCUACUCUCAGUUGGUCAUAACAGGCUCAUCUUCAACCCUGGGAGGUCAAAACAUGACUUUGAAGAAAGCAUCCAGUCAUAUCAAACAACAGGUCCAGAAAUGUGGUUUUCUCUGAAGUGAAGGACGCGAGACCUAAAAACGCGCAGAGGGAUUAAGGCCACCUAGGCAAUAUCCACAGGACAGAGUCCUAUACUACUGCUGUUAUCUUUGAUCUGUGUUCUCUCAUUUACUACUUCUGGAAGGGAAAGCAGCACCUGGCUUUCCCAGCCUUCCUUAAUGACUUUCCCAUCAAGCGUGAAGGAAGGUAUUUCAUGCUGUGGCAGGAUUUAAGCCUUUGCACUUUGCUUCAUCCCACCACAACCGCAGACCCGCCUCACCUCCAGGAUCUGCGCUUCAGCUUACGCAUGAACUUCUCCAGCUUUGCACCUUGGGUUUUGGAUCCGCGCUUUAGCAAGAGGAAGGCCGGCUGAGAUGAAGGGGUCUGACUCCCAGCGCAGACCUUCCCAGACCGUGGGAGUGCUCCUCUUGCGCAGCUCUGACCUGGGCCCAUCUCUAAAUAUAACCGUAACUCAAUAAAUGUAAAAAAGGGACCAAGACAUGACUGCAACCUUCCAUCCAACAGUGGUUGAGUUAUUACCGCAGUUACAUCACAGCUGAAACAGGUGCAAGGAAAUAAGCCUCCCAAAAGUUUCUAUUCAGGAGGGAAAUGACUGAAGAGAGCAGAGGGAAAGGAGGAAGGCGGAGGUAAGGGUAGGAGCCAGGGGACAGAGCGGAAGUUGUUUCUCUUGGGAUGUGGCCAACUUAGUAGCUGUCCAAACCCAGGAGAUGGCUUGGAUGCUCCUUCUGUUACUGUCUUUGCUUUUUCCCAUUUUCAGGCUGCCUGCUACCAGAGAGCAUGAGAACUCCAGCAUUGCAUUGCCCUCUGAAUACCCUAUUGCCUGGGACCUCAGCAGCCCGCUGAACCACAUUUAGGCCUGAUGCAAGCAGACACACAUCCUUCCGAGCAGAUUUUGUGCAAUUUUCAAGGAAUCCUUCAAGGACUCAUCAGCUCAAGCUAGAGUUACUGCCUUCCUGACACCACUGCAAUUCACUACGUGACCAGUUACUUCCCCACUCCUGGCCUCUCCUUGCUUUCCACCUCUCCAGACUGCAAUACAGUGGUCCCAUCUUCACAUCCCUGCGGAGCAGCAGGGUGCUGCUGAGUGCUCACACCCCCAGGCAGGCCUGGAUCAAAGGAUGUUCACCGCUGAUAGUGGAGCUCCGAGUCCAGUGCACUUCCAAGUGCCACAGACACUUGGGCAUCUUCCAGCAGGACGUUGGCUGUCUGCACCCUGUGCUGUGGCUCCUUGAUGCCCAGCUCUGCCUAUGUCCUCUUCCCAGCUGCCUGGCCUAGGGCUGAACUGGGUGUUGAAACAGAGGAGCAUUUCCCAUGCUAUGUGUACGUCAGGGAUGCGUGGGGAAAGGAAGUGCAGCAAUUGCCAGAAGCAGCAGUGAAGUUACUGUAUGGUGUUAUCAUCUGAUGAGAAAAGUAAUGAAGCAAAAAUGCCUUGAGCGUGCCGUGAGCCAGCUCCUCUGUCAAGGGAUUACUGCUGAGGACCCUCAAGACCUUAUGUGCACCCAUGACUGUAACCCAUGAGUAAGAGCAUAAAGCAUGCACGCAAGGUAAAUAAAUGGUUAGAGAGA